ensembl:snoRNA Small nucleolar RNA SNORD121A
UGUCUGGAGAUGAUGAUGAUUACAAGCACACAUCCUAAACAUUUUAUGUGGAAACUAUUUUACUGAAUCUCCUGUCU